rnacentral:lncRNA from 1 species
CUGGAGAGGUGGUUAGGACAGGAGGGAAGAGCCUUCAUGAGUAGAUUAGCACCUUACAGAACACUAAGAGGACACCCCUCCCGCCACAUAAGGCCACAGCAGGAAGACCAUCUUCCAUGAACCAGGAAGGGGCCUCUCAUCUGGCAUGAGAGUUGCAGGUACCUUGAUCUUAGACUUUUUGGCCUCCAGAACGGGGAGAAAGAAGUUUCUUUUGCAUAGAAGCCAUCCAGCGUAGGUGUUGUUACAACAGCUGGAACAGACUAGCACAGUCACAGAGAUGAAGCAGCUCUGAGAAGCAACGAGAACAAUAGGAUCAUCGUGGCGGUGAAGUAACUGGCAGGAGGCCAAGAGAAAAGUGGUGAAAAGUGGAGAGCUGGGCCCGCUAGGAGCCAAAGUGUGGGGAAGACGAUUAGCAGGGCUCUCGGAAAUCCUCCGGAGUACCACCAGGGGCAGAGGCCAGGAGCCAGGGCCUAGAAUCACCCAGAAAGAGGAGAAGAGGUUCCAGAAGCAGAGGAGAGUGGGGGAUGGGUAGGACACCCAAGAGCGGUUGUUACCCCAAAACAGAAGUGGAAGCGGAGCUUGGAGGGGGUAGAGAAAAGUGAGUUCCCCUAAAGUCUUCUUCCCCCACAGGGACCUUGAGAGAGCGGUAACAGAGAGGAGUCAAAAACCACAGUAUUUGAAAAAGUAAAACUCCUCAGGACGUAUGUCCCAGACUAGGAGUCUGGAGCUCUCUCUUGUCCACUGAGCGAGUGGACGCAGGACUAUGACACGAGAGAGCCUAACGGCCGGAAGGAGGCAAGAGCCCCGAGCAGGCCUUUCGCCUCCGUAUUUAUCGGGCUCAAAAGAUAUUACCCACGUGGUGAACGCGAAGAAAACGAGAUCUUACACACGUGAACGUGGGGAAAACCAUCAGAUAGUAAUCAUCAGCUUGUGUGUGCCUGUGUAUCCUCUACAAACAUCCGGAGGGGACUUCACUGCCUGGAGACCAAAGCCUAAACUGUUACCAGUGACAUUGUGUAGCUCAUGCCCCAGCAGCCUGAGUUCCAGCAAGGCUGUCUAG